CCAUUUUACAAAUAAUAUCGCAUGGAUUUAUUGGUGCCGCACUUUUUUUCUUGGCAGGAACGGGUUAUGAUAGAAUACGUCGUGUUUAUCUUGAUGAAAUGGGUGGAAUGGCUACCUCAAUGCCAAAAAUAUUCACGACAUUCAGUAUCUUAUCACUAGCUUCCCUUGCAUUACCAGGCAUGAGCGGUUUUUUUGCGGAAUUGAUAGUAUUUUUUGGAAUAAUUACCGGCCAAAAAUAUCUUUUAAUGUCAAAAAUAUUAAUUACUUUUGUAAUGGCAGUUGGAAUGAUAUUAACUCCUAUUUAUUUAUUAUCUAUGUUACGCCAGAUGUUCUAUGGAUAUAAGCUGUUUAAUGCCCCAAACUCUUCUUUUUUUGAUUCUGGACCGCGGGAGUUAUUUGUUUCGAUCUCUAUCCUUCUGCCUGUAAUAGGUAUUGGUAUUUAUCCGGAUUUCGUUUUCUCAUUAUCAGUUGACAGGGUUGAAGCUAUUCUAUCUAAUUAUUUUUAUAGAUAGUUAGAUAGUUUUUCUAAAUAA
rnacentral:misc_RNA from 1 species